CGUCGGAACGUGCCGAGUAGUGGGGGAUAACGCAGCGAAAGUUGUGCUAAUACCGCAUACGUACUGAGGUAGAAAGUGGGGGACCUUCGGGCCUCACGCUAUUCGAGCGGCCGACGUCUGAUUAGCUAGUAGGUGAGGUAAAGGCUCACCUAGGCGACGAUCAGUAGCGGGUCUGAGAGGAUGAUCCGCCACACUGGGACUGAGACGCGGCCCAGACUCCUACGGGAGGCAGCAGUGGGGAAUUUUGGACAAUGGGCGAAAGCCUGAUCCAGCCAUGCCGCGUGUCUGAAGAAGGCCUUCGGGUUGUAAAGGACUUUUGUCGGGGAGGAAAUCCCCAGCGCUAAUACCGCUGGGGGAUGACAGUACCUGAAGAAUAAGCACCGGCUAACUACGUGCCAGCAGCCGCGGUAAUACGUAGGGUGCAAGCGUUAAUCGGAAUUACUGGGCGUAAAGCGUGCGCAGGCGGUUUGAUAAGCCAGAUGUGAAAUCCCCGAGCUCAACUUGGGAACUGCGUUUGGAACUGUCAGACUAGAGUGCGUCAGAGGGGGGUGGAAUUCCGCGUGUAGCAGUGAAGUGCGUAGAGAUGCGGAGGAACACCGAUGGCGAAGGCAGCCCCCUGGGAUGACACUGACGCUCAUGCACGAAAGCGUGGGGAGCAAACAGGAUUAGAUACCCUGGUAGUCCACGCCCUAAACGAUGUCAAUUAGCUGUUGGGGGUUAGAAUCCUUGGUAGCGUAGCUAACGCGUGAAAUUGACCGCCUGGGGAGUACGGCCGCAAGGUUAAAACUCAAAGGAAUUGACAGGGGCCCGCACAAGCGGUGGAUGAUGUGGAUUAAUUCGAUGCAACGCGAAGAACCUUACCUGCUCUUGACAUGUA
rnacentral:rRNA from 1 species